CUCAUUAAAUCAGUUAUAGUUUAUUUGAUGGUCUCUUUUGUCUUUUUUUACUACUUGGAUAACCGUAGGUAAUUCUAGAGCUAAUACAUGCGCAAGGUCCCGACGCGCGGGGGAGUGGGGCGUUCACGGCUCUGUCCUCGCAUGCGCAGAGGGAUGUAUUAUUAGGUUAAAAACCAAGCAGCCAGCAAUGGCUACAAUCUCCUGGUGAUUCAUAGUAACUCUUUCGGAUCGCAUUCAUG
rnacentral:rRNA from 1 species